rnacentral:sRNA from 1 species
UAUUCUGCCCCAUGGGGAAGGAUGAGAAGCUUCGACUAAGGUUCGACUCGAGCGCCAGCGAGAGAACGUUGCCGCAGGCAACGGCCCGAAGGGCGAGGCGAGAUAGCGACGAGUUAUCCUUCCCCCACCACCA